rnacentral:snoRNA from 1 species
AGAUUUCAUCACAAUUAAAAAUUUUUAUGCUUCGAUGGAAAGAGGAGGCAGAGUAAAGCUACCCCAUGUACACCCCAGCCCAUGCCCUGUGCCUGGUCUGCAUUGUGAAUGGGGGAACAUGG